AAUCCUAAAAAAAAUGUAACAAAAAUAAAAUAUAACACUUCUCUCACUCUAGUCCUCAUCACGCCUCUCUCAGCACUAGCUUUUCUCUGUCCUCACCGUCUCGCUUCAUAUAUAGCCCGCCUCUAUCACGCCGUCGCCUCGCCUCUGUGUCGUCUCUGGUUGACUCAAACCCUAGUUCUUACUUCUCCCCGCCACAAGAAAACAAAG